rnacentral:rRNA from 1 species
CAGUAGUCACGAGUUUGAUCCUGGCUCAGAACGAGCGCUGGCGGCAUGCCUAACACAUGCAAGUCGAACGAGACCUUCGGGUCUAGUGGCGCACGGGUGCGUAACGCGUGGGAACCUGCCUUUAGGUUCGGAAUAACUCAGAGAAAUUUGAGCUAAUACCGGAUAAUGUCUUCGGACCAAAGAUUUAUCGCCUUUAGAUGGGCCCGCGUUGGAUUAGCUAGUUGGUGGGGUAAAGGCCUACCAAGGCGACGAUCCAUAGCUGGUCUGAGAGGAUGAUCAGCCACACUGGGACUGAGACACGGCCCAGACUCCUACGGGAGGCAGCAGUGGGGAAUAUUGGACAAUGGGCGAAAGCCUGAUCCAGCAAUGCCGCGUGAGUGAUGAAGGCCUUAGGGUUGUAAAGCUCUUUUACCCGAGAUGAUAAUGACAGUAUCGGGAGAAUAAGCUCCGGCUAACUCCGUG